rnacentral:rRNA from 1 species
AUACGUAGGGGGCAAGCGUUAUCCGGAUUUACUGGGUGUAAAGGGAGCGUAGACGGCGAAGCAAGUCUGAAGUGAAAGGACGGGGCCCAACCCCGGAACUGCUUUGGAAACUGUUUGGCUGGAGUGCGGGAGGGGUAAGCGGAAUUCCUAGUGUAGCGGUGAAAUGCGUAGAUAUUAGGAGGAACACCGGUGGCAAGGCGGCUUACUGGACCGUAACUGACGUUGAGGCUCGAAGGCGUGGGGAGCAAACAGGAUUAGAUACCCUGGUAGUCCACGCGGUAAACGAUGAUCACUAGGUGUCCGUGGGUAUGACCCAUGGGUGCCGCAGCCAACGCAAUAAGUGAUCCACCUGGGGAGUACGUUCGCAAGAAUGAAACUCAAAGGAAUUGACGGGG